UAGGGAAUAUUGGGCAAUGGGCGCAAGCCUGACCCAGCCACCCCGCGUGAAUGAAGAAGGUCCAUUGGAUUGUAAAAUUCUUUUCUCCAAGAGUAAGGGCGUUUUAGAAGCGCAUUGAAAGUAUUGGAGGAAUAAGCGACGGCUAACUACGUGCCAGCAGCCGCGGUAAUACGUAGGUCGCAAGCGUUGUCCGGAUUUAUUGGGUUUAAAGGGUGCGUAGGCGGGUUUGUCAGUCGGCGAUGAAAUGGCGGGGCUUAACCCUGGCCGCUGUUGCCGAUACUGCAAGUCUUGAAAUCAGAUGAGGCUACCGGAAUGAGUGGUGUAGCGGUGAAAUGCGUAGAGAUCACUCAGAACGCCAAUUGAGAAGUCAGGUAGCUGGGCUGUAUUUGACGCUGAGGCACGAAAGCGUGGGGAGCAAACAGGAUUAGAUACCCGUGUAGUCC
rnacentral:rRNA from 1 species